rnacentral:rRNA from 1 species
AGCGAACGCUGGCGGUAGGCCUAACACAUGCAAGUCGAACGGCAGCACAGAGGAGCUUGCUCCUUGGGUGGCGAGUGGCGGACGGGUGAGGAAUACAUCGGAAUCUACUCUGUCGUGGGGGAUAACGUAGGGAAACUUACGCUAAUACCGCAUACGACCUACGGGUGAAAGCAGGGGAUCUUCGGACCUUGCGCGAUUGAAUGAGCCGAUGUCGGAUUAGCUAGUUGGCGGGGUAAAGGCCCAACAAGGAGACGAUCCGUAGCUGGUCUGAGGGGAUGAUCAUCCACACUGGAACUGGGACACGGUCCAGACUCCUACGGGAGGCAGCAGUGGGGAAUAUUGGACAAUGGGCGCAAGCCUGAUCCAGCCAUACCGCGUGGGUGAAGAAGGCCUUCGGGUUGUAAAGCCCUUUUGUUGGGAAAGAAAUCCAUCUGGUUAAUACCCGGGUGGGAUGACGGUACCCAAAGAAUAAGCACCGGCUAACUUCGUGCCAGCCGCCGCCGUAA